UACGUAGGGUGCAAGCGUUGUCCGGAAUUAUUGGGCGUAAAGAGCUUGUAGGCGGUUUGUCGCGUCUGCUGUGAAAUCCCGGGGCUCAACCCCGGAACUGCACUCGAUACUGCUUUACUAGAGGACUGGAGAGGAGAUUGGAAUUCUCGGUGUAGCAGUGAAAUGCGUAGAUAUCGAGAGGAACACCUGUGGCGAAAGCGAAUCUCUGGACAGUUCCUGACGCUGAGGCUCGAAGGCUAGGGUAGCGAAAGGG
rnacentral:rRNA from 1 species